UACAACAGCCACCGUUUACUAGAAUAUAGUUAUCCUACUUGGAUAACUGUGGCAAUUCUAGAGCUAAUACAUGCAAAAGAGCUCUGCCCGCAAGGAACGAGCGCAUUUAUUAGAAUAAAAACCAAUCGGGUCUCGGCCCGUAAAUUUGGUGAAUCUGAAUAACUUUGCCAAUCGCACGGUCCUAGUACCGGCGAUGUAUCUUUCAAGUGUCUGCCUUAUCAACUUUCGAUGGUAGGUUAUACGCCUACCAUGGUAGUAACGGGUAACGGAGAAUAAGGGUUCGACUCCGGAGAGGGAGCCUGAGAAACGGCUACCACAUCCAAGGAAGGCAGCAGGCGCGCAAAUUACCCACUUCCAGUACGGAGAGGUAGUGACGAAAAAUAACGAGACAGUCCUCUUCGAGGUCUGUCAUCGGAAUGGGUACAAUUUAAAUCCUUUAACGAGGAUCUAUUGGAGGGCAAGUCUGGUGCCAGCAGCCGCGGUAAUUCCAGCUCCAAUAGCGUAUAUUAAAGUUGUUGCGGUUAAAACGCUCGUAGUUGGAUCUGCGGCCUCGGAGGACGGUCCCCCGAAAGGGCGGUCACUGUCUCUCCUAGCCUACAUUUUUAGUCGUCCCUAGGUGCUCUUUACCGAGUGUCUAGGGUGACUGGAACGUUUACUUUGAAAAAAUUAGAGUGCUUAAAGCAGGCGCAAUAGCCUGAAUAAGGUGCAUGGAAUAAUGGAAUAGGACCUCGGUCCCAUUUUGUUGGUUUUCGGAACCUGAGGUAAUGAUUAAGAGGAACAGACGGGGGCAUUUGUAUUCCGGCGCUAGAGGUGAAAUUCUUGGACCGCCGGAAGACAAACAACUGCGAAAGCAUUUGCCAAGAAUGUUUUCAUUAAUC
rnacentral:rRNA from 1 species